rnacentral:rRNA from 1 species
CAGCAGCCGCGGUAAAACAGAGGGUGCGAGCGUUAAUCGGAUUUACUGGGCGUAAAGCGUGCGUAGGCGGCUAAUUGAGUCGGAUGUGAAAUCCCCGAGCUUAACUUGGGAAUUGCAUUCGAUACUGGUUAGCUAGAGUGUGGGAGAGGAUGGUAGAAUUCCAGGUGUAGCGGUGAAAUGCGUAGAGAUCUGGAGGAAUACCGAUGGCGAAGGCAGCCAUCUGGCCUAACACUGACGCUGAGGUACGAAAGCAUGGGGAGCAAACAGGAUUAGAUACCCCCGUAGUCCCUGUCUCUUAUAC